GCCUCGAUAGUCUAAUAGCUUAGGACGCUCGUAUGGAAUACAAGAGAUCCGGGUUCAAGUUCCGGACGAGGUA
rfam:Trachymyrmex cornetzi contig27159, whole genome shotgun sequence.